GCGGGAGCCUCUGAUUCCUGGUGGAGAGCCACAGUGAGCCCAGCAGAACCCAUCUGAGCGCCAGCAUCCAUCCCGGUCAGGAGGAUUUGCUGCCCCCUCCUGGUGGAAUGCGCGCCAUGUCGUCAAGCGGCCACCAGAUGACUCGCUGGUCCCCUCAAAGGCAUCACAUCGAGAACGCUCUGCUGGUCACAGGUGAAGUCUCACACUGUCACCUGGGCUGGAGUGCAAUGGCGCCAUCUUGGCUCACUGCAUCAACUGGCGCCAACUUGCUUCCGUCUCCCAGGUUCAAGCAAUUCUCUGCCUCAGCCUCUUGAGUAGCUGAAAUUACAGGCACCUGCCACCACGCCCAGCUAAUGUUUUGUAUUUUUAGUAGAGAUGGGGUUUCACUAUGUUGGCCAAGCUGGACUCGAAUUCCUGAGCUCGUGUUUGCCCGCCUCAGCCUCCCAAAGUGCUGGGAUUACAGGCAUGAGCCACCGCGCCCAGCCAUGUUUCUUCUUUUUCACUGGGUACUUCUGAUAUUUUCCCCAAAUUGAUUCAAGUAAUUUGCAGUCCUACCAUGGAUGUAUUGGAUUUCUACGUGAGCCCUACUACCUCUGACAUUUGAUAUUGUCAUUUUCAUCAUGCGAAAUGAAUACCUCAACAUUGAUCCCUCUCUUCAGGAAUGAUCGACAGAUAGUCCAGAAAGCACAGGCUGUAGAUUUUGUUCCAGAACCUCCUGGGAUCAUCAGAUUGAACACAUGAGGGUGGGAGACUGCCAUACAAGCUGGGAAGGAGGAAUCAGAUGAUAUUGUCAUGAAUUCCUCAAGAGUUAGUGUUUGCUGGCCUCCAAGAGGCAAGGAUCUCUGGGAACUUAAGGCAGAGAAGCACUUCACACUCACCCAUGAGCUCUUUUCCGUGGGUCUCAACUGGGCAUUCACAACAUAGAUUGGAAGUAAGGUGGAGACCCAAAAUUUGUGAUCCGACAUGAUUACCUUCCACAGUGUGUGGCCUGAAAUCUCACCCCCCUCUGGAGGUCCUAGAUUGUCCUCCAGAGCCUCCUGGGAUCAUCAGAGCUGUCCCUGAGGCUUCACCACGCUGAAGGGUGCAUUGUCCUCUCUGCUGUUCACCUCCUGGCUGCAUCUUGGGGGCUUCUCUGGCUGUGCUGAGCCUCAAAUAACAGAAUCCCGAGGACCACCAGGACCAAGCCUGCCAUGCCCAUGCGGAUGAGAUUCUCCACUGUGUAAUCCUUGGCGUGUGAGGCUGGGGAUGGUGGGCAAAGAGGUCACAGAGGUCAGCGCAGAUCAACUUCACCCAGGACCCCUGGAUGCCCAACCCAGGGCACCCCCUAUCCCCCAUUGACAGAACCUGACCCUCUGUGCCCGCCCCAUAACUGAGAGCAUCUCCUCACUCAUCAGUCUUGCGGUCUGACUUGUUUUGUGAUGGGGUGAGGGUCUCAGCUCCUCCUGAGAAUCAAAACAGAAGGGGAGAGCCCUGAGCCAGCCUCUCCCCUGGGCUCUGUGUUCUUAUUCUUCCAGGCCUCAUGACGUGGCUUUUACGGAGUUCUUCAAUAAACCCUCCCUCUCCUGCA